AUGCCGCCGCGGCGCUGCCCGGCGGCGCCGCCUCCCGCCCGCGCCUUCUCCGCGGCGGCGCCGUCCGCCAAAACCACCGUGCAGCUCGCCCACCUCGCGCACCUCCCGUCCUCCCUCCCGCCGCCGUCCCACUGCACCGUCACCCCGCCCGUCCAGCCCUGGCCGCGCCGCCUCACCCCCCGGAGCUUCUCCCGCCUCCUCCACCGCCUCCCGACCCCCCAGCUCGCCGUGCUCGCCUUCCGCCACGCGCUCUUCCGCGCCACGCCCCCCCUGCCCCCGUCCAUCCCCGUCUUCGCCGCGGUGCUCUCCCNNNNNNNNNNNNNNNNNNNNNNNNNNNNNNNNNNNNNNNNNNCGCCCGUCCUCUCCGCCCUCCGCGCCGCCCGCCUCCCGGCCUUCUCCGACCGCGCCUUCCUGCCCCUCCUCCGCGCGCUCCCGCCGCUGCCCUCCCUCCGCCUCUUCCUCUCCCUCCCGUCCUUCAACUCCCACCCCUCCGUGCGCUCCUUCAACGCCCUCCUCCACUCCCUCGUCGCCGCGCGCCGCCUCCGCCUCGCCGCCGCCCUCUUCCGCGCCGCGCCCACCAAGCUCUACAUCACGCCCGACCUCGUCUCCUGCAACAUCCUGCUCAAGGGCCUCGUUGGCGUGCGCGACCUCGAUGCCGCCCUCAAGGUUCUCGACGAAAUGCCCGGGUGGGGGAUCGUCCCCGAUGUCGUCACCUACACGACGGUUCUCUCCGCAUACUGUGCCAAGGAGGAUCUCAAGGGCGCCCAGAAGCUAUUCGAUGAUAUAAUUGCCGGUGGGCGUGUGCCAGAUGUUACGAUGUACACGGUGCUCAUCGAUGGGUACUGCCGGACCGGGAAGAUACAGGAUGCAGCUAGGAUUAUGGAUGAGAUGGAGGUCGCCGGGGUGCAACCGAAUGAGGUUACGUAUUCAGUCGUGAUUGAGGCAUGCUGUAAGGAGGGGAAAUCUGCCGAGGCGUGCAAUCUAAUGGGCGAGAUGCUUGGGGCAGGGUACACGCCAGAUACACCACUGGCUGCUAAGGUGGUCGAUGUGCUGUGCCAGGACGGAAAGGCAGACGAAGCACACCGAAUGUGGAAAUGGAUGGUGAAGAAGAACGUCCCACCAGAUAACACAAUCACGAACACAUUGAUCUACUGGUUAUGCAAGAGUGGAAUGGUUCAGGAGGCAAGGAAGCUGUUUGAUGAGCUCGAGAAGGGGUACAAGCCAAGCUUACUGACUUAUAACUCGCUUAUUUCCGGACUAUGUGAAAAUGGGGAGUUACAAGAGGCUGGGCAGGUGUGGGAUGACAUGGUUGAACGGGGAUACGAGCCAAAUGCCACGACUUACGAGGCCUUUAUCAAGGGAUUUUGCAAAAUUGGGAAGCCAAAUGAAGGGGCCACAGUAUUUACUGAGAUGGUGACCAAAGGGUGCACCCCAAGCAAGGUUCUUUACCAAGUUUUGGUCGAUAGCCUUUCUGAGCCAAUACAUGACGAUAUUGUUGACAAAAUUGUUGAAACUGCUGCCUUAAGUGGUGGGGAUUUCUUGGAUGGCGAUUCUUGGGAGAUCUUUAUCAGGAGAGUGUUAGAUACUAAGAGUGAUACUUGGAACAAGCAUCUCAAUUCAGUGCUAGAUACAUAG
rnacentral:rRNA from 1 species